UUUUGCCUCUCUCAGCAUUCCACAGGUUAAUUCCUCUCUUCCUUUGUUCUCCUCUGCCUUUGCCUCUUUUGGGAAGUUCUAAGUUGCUAGCCAAUCAGGUUGAGUACAGAAUGUGAGGUCCCAUUCCAGCCAAUGGAAACCGGACACAGCAGUAGGGUGGAUGCAUCAGGUUAUAAAUUACCCUGUCUCUUUUGUUGGUGUGUGGCAAGACUGCUAGCAAGCAGCACCCUUUCUGCAGAAAGUAAACUAGCCUUGCUGAGAGAUCCUUUGUCUCAGUGUUGAUUUUUGCAACACUAAGCACCCGUUCCCAACAAUUUGGUGGCCCGUAGGGGAUUAACAUUCCCCUCUGGGACAGUCUUUGGUCCUCUCUCAUGGGGAGGUGCCCCACUGCCCAUUGUAGCAGCCCCUGGAGGACAGCCAGGACCUACCCGGAGCAAGGAAUAUAGUUGGAUUCUCAGCAACGCAGGGAAAGAGAGAGGCUUGCAGGACCACAGUGACCAGGUGACUCCAUGCACGGGCCAAGGUCAAAGGUCUCUUAGCACAGGCCACCACUAGAAUUUCCAGCACACCAGCACCAACCCAGGGACCACCUUCUCAUCAAAGGGUGGAAGGAAGGGAAACUCGAGCCCACCUGGGAAGGCCCCUAUCUGGUGCUGUUAACCACCGAGACUGCCGUCCGCACAGCUGAGAAAGGAUGGACCCACCAUACUCUAGUUAAGAAAGCAGCUUCCUCGUCAGAAUCAUGGGUUGCUGUACCAGGAUUGAGUCCUACCAAGUUGAAGUUAAAGAAAGCUUAAUUUUUAUAUACCUUCUAUAUUGCUUCCUUUCCUUUCCUUAUUCUGUUACUAGCUCCUUUGUUAUUAAUGUAACUAAGUCUGACUCACCUCAGACCAUUGCCUUUAAUGCUUGCUCUGUCACACCUUGUGGAGAUGUGAAAGAUCAAUGACAGCUAGCCUUUUCACACAAAUAUUUAUGCCCCAGCCCUCUAACUGACACAGUUAUUCCUAGCUCUCAUAGUUGUGAUCGCCUGCAGCUGAGACACCAAUUGUCUGCUCCUACAGCCUGGCAACCUUGCAGUAGCUGGAACUAUGUCCUUUGAACUACUCAGGAGCAAGGUUAGACUUCCACGGAAGAGGUUUGUGCAAAUCUAAAAUCCCUCACCUAUUUCUGUCAGCCUUAUCAGUGUAACCCUGUCCUUCUCUCUCUCACCACCUCCACCUUAACUGAUUCUAAACUUGCCCUUGUUCACUUCUAUGGUAUGGGGAUUGAUGUAAAUGGGAAAGACCCCCUAGGCAUUUUUGAGAUAUGCAUUAUUCCCCAGUCUUCCCCUUCUUCGGUAGCCUCAGUUUUAAAUCCCACACCAGUUGCUCCUACACCUAAUGAUAAAACUAGGGUGUCUAUUGUGAAAGUGAAAUAUCUUAAGACAGACCUUAGCCAUUGAGAUAGGAUAUCAAGAUGCAAAUGCCUGGCUGAAAUCGAUUAAAUAUUCCAUUCGCACUUUAAAUAAAAGCGAUUGUUACGCUUGUGCACACGGUAGGCCAGAGGCCCAGACUGUCCCCUUUCCACUUGGAUGGGCUCCUCGUUGACCAAGCAUGGACUGUAUGGUGGCUCUCUUCCAGAAUCCCACUGCUUGGGAUAAUCCAUCAUGCCAAGCUCUCUCUGCUGUUUCCUGAAGUUCAACACACUGAGGGUCAGGCCCAGAGGGCAAUCCAGCUUCCACCUCUAAAUGCCAAGUUUACUUCCUGCCUCUCAUGGCAAGGGGAGAAUUUAGUGUUCCUUGGAAGCAUAAAAAGAUGCAAGGAGCUCAGGCCUUUCCAGAAGCUUGUUCAUCAGUCCCCGAGCUGUAUGAUGGUACUGUGGAGGACCUUUACUGGACACUCUGCCUUAUAAUUGGAGUGGUACUUGUGCUCUAAUCCAAUUGACUAUCCCCUUCACCCUGGCAUUUCGUCAGUCUGCGAAAGUAAAAACAAGACACUGCAGGCCAAGGGAAACUCCAUUUGAGUCCUUUGAUCCUCAGGUUUACAUAGAUGCUAUUGGGGUCCCAUGAGGAGUGCCAGAUAAGUUUAAAGCAUGGAAUCAAAUAGCUACAGGAUUUGAAUCUACAUUGUUCUGGUGGUUAACUACAUAUCUAUAAAUAAAAAUAUAGACUGGAUAAACUAUAUUACAAUCAGCAAUGAUUCAUAAAUUAUACUAGGGACUCCAUCGAAGGGAUAGCUGAGCAAAUAAGACCUACCAGCCAGAUGGCCUGGAAAAAUAGAAUAGCCUUAGAUAUGAUAUUAGCAGAAAAAGGAGGUGUUUGCAUAAUGAUUGAAACUCAAUGUUGUACCUUUAUUCCUAAUAAUACUACCCCUGAUGGAACUAUAACAAGAGUGCUACAAGGAUUAACAGCCCUAUCCAAUGAACUUGCCAAAAAUUCUGGAUUAGAUGAUCCUUUUUCUAAAAGACAGAACAUUGGUUCAGGGGAUGGAAAGGGAUUUUCACUUCAAUUCUCACCUCGUUAGCUCUUGUUAUUGGUGUACUUAUUCUCAUAGGCUGUUGUAUUAUUACCUGCCUUCAAAGUUUUAUACAAAAACUUGUCUCUGCCACUCUUACAAAGUUAAUUCCUAACUUUUCUUCACCCUAUUCAGAAAGAUUACUUCUCUUAAAAGGACAAACAGAGCAACUGAGUCAAGACAUGUUAAACAAGUUUAAAGAGGAAUUAUAAAAUAAAAGAGGGGGGAAUUGUAGAAAAUGAAAUAGAGGUUCCUCUUCAAAGGGACAUUCCUCCCAGUCUACUUCAGAAUAGAUAGUAACCUCUCUUAGAAGCAAAAUUUACUCAAAGACCUGUGCUAAUAUUCUUAAAUUCUGCUAGCUGUAAUAAAGAAAUCAAUAUACUCUGUUCUUAGCUCCACAUUUUAGCCUAGAUAUUUGCCUGGGCAUGCCUGAAGAGGUCCAAGCAAGCAUGAGGUCAUAGCCUGUUUCUCUUUCCUUAUUUGUAAGUGUUUUUGCCUCUCUCAGCAUUCCACAGGUUAAUUCCUCUCUUCCUUUGUUCUCCUCUGCCUUUGCCUCUUUUGGGAAGUUCUAAGUUGCUAGCCAAUCAGGUUGAGUACAGAAUGUGAGGUCCUAUUCCAGCCAAUGGAAACCGGACACAGCAGCAGGGUGGAUGCAUCAGGUUAUAAAUGACCCUGUCUCUUUUCUUCGUGUGCGCUCUUGUGGCAAGACUGCUAGCGAGCAGCAACCCUUUCUGCAGAAAGUAAACUAGCCUUGC
rnacentral:lncRNA from 10 species